CUGAAAUUCGCCUUCAUGAAGCUGGAAUUGCUGGUAAUGGCAGGUCAGCAUACUGCCGUGAAUACGUUCCCGGGCCUUGUACACACCGCCCGUCACACCAUGAGAGUUGGGAAUACCCGAAGCCUGUGAGCUAACUUAUAGAGGCAGCAGUCGAAGGUAGAAUCAAUGAUUGGGGUGAAGUCGUAACAAGGUAAC
rnacentral:rRNA from 1 species